GUCUACGGCCAUACCACCCUGAACGCCCCGAUCUCGUCUGAUCUCGGAAGCUAAGCAGGGUCGGGCCGGUUAGUACUUGGAUGGGAGACCGCCUGGGAAUAACCGGGUGCUGUAGGCU
rnacentral:rRNA from 1 species